CGACUUUAGCCGCCUAUAAAUUGAGCCGGGUGCUGUACCAUGACGCAUCGCACCAUCCGCAGCUAGUCGCCGUGCACACCAGCCACAGACCGAACUCUUCUUCUAUAGCUGAAUACCGUGACGCCUCGCACCAUCCGCAGCUAGUCGCCGUGCACACCAGCCACAUACCGAACUCUUCUUCUCUAGCUGAAGAAUAGAACAUAUUGGAUCUCCUCGCCCAGGCCAUCUUGGUCCGAUUCAUCUCGAGGCGACGGAGUGAUCGAGGAGGAGCGCGCUGAGGAGCAGUACUACGAGCCGGAGCCAGAAGACCCGUACCGCGAUCAGGAAGCCGCCGACUCAGGAUCCCGACUUUGUGCCGGAAGACUACGAGUAGAUCGUGUCCGCACCCAAGCUGAUCGAGUGGAGCCAUGAUGGAUGAAGAGUUAGUCCUGCAUAUCGUUAUGAUAGUUAUUAUCCUAUGAUUGUUCUGUGUAGCUUUGUGUUGUCACCUUACUUCUCGUGUACGUGUUAAAUAAAAGCUCUGUAUGACUCUGGACUCCACUUGAUGUAACAUGUAUUGUGCCGGAGACUUAAUUCGGUAAUUAAUACAUGGUUUAGCCUUGAUCUUUGGGUCGAGGCGCUUCAG